rnacentral:rRNA from 1 species
GAUGGACUCUGGCGGCGUGCCUAAUACAUGCAAGUCGAGCGAACGGACGAGAAGCUUGCUUCUCUGAUGUUAGCGGCGGACGGGUGAGUAACACGUGGAUAACCUACCUAUAAGACUGGGAUAACUUCGGGAAACCGUAGCUAAUACCGGAUAAUAUUUUGAACCGCAUGGUUCAAAAGUGAAAGACGGUCUUGCUGUCACUUAUAGAUGGAUCCGCGCUGCAUUAGCUAGUUGGUAAGGUAACGGCUUACCAAGGCAACGAUGCAUAGCCGACCUGAGAGGGUGAUCGGCCACACUGGAACUGAGACACGGUCCAGACUCCUACGGGAGGCAGCAGUAGGGAAUCUUCCGCAAUGGGCGAAAGCCUGACGGAGCAACGCCGCGUGAGUGAUGAAGGUCUUCGGAUCGUAAAACUCUGUUAUUAGGGAAGAACAUAUGUGUAAGUAACUGUGCACAUCUUGACGGUACCUAAUCAGAAAGCCACGGCUAACUACGUG